GAUGAAGAACGUAGCGAAAUGCGAUAAGUAAUGUGAAUUGCAGAAUUCAGUGAAUCAUCGAAUCUUUGAACGCACAUUGCGCCCCUUGGUAUUCCGAGGGGCAUGCCUGUUCGAGCGUCAUUAUAACCCCUCAAGCUCAGCUUGGUGUUGGGGCCUGCUGCACUGGCAGCCCUUAAAAUCAGUGGCGGCGCCAUCUGGCUCUAAGCGUAGUAAUUCUUCUCGCUAUGGAGUCCUGGUGGAUGCUUGCCAUCCACCCCCAAUUUUUCUAUGGUUGACCUCGGAUCAGGUAGGGAUACCCGCUGAACUUAAGCAUAUCAAUAAGCGGAGGA
rnacentral:misc_RNA from 1 species